rnacentral:misc_RNA from 1 species
AAAGUCGUAACAAGGUUUCCGUAGGUGAACCUGCGGAAGGAUCAUUAGUGAAUAUAGCGCGUCUCUUCGGAGAGCGUGAACCUCCACUUCUAACUCUGUGCACUAUUUGGCGAGGUAGAAAGAAACGAAUCAUGUCGUCUUCCCAUCCUUGCGGCUCAUUUUAAACACUAGUUAAAGUAUGUAACGAAAUAUCGAAACUAAAAAAACUUUCAACAACGGAUCUCUUGGCUCUC